rnacentral:rRNA from 1 species
AUGGUAAAACGAGGGCUUAGCUGUCUCCUUUUUCAUGUCAAUGAAAUUGAUCUACCCGUGCAAAAGCGGGUAUUAUCUUAUAAGACGAGAAGACCCUGUGAAGCUUUAGACAAUAAGACAGACCCGGCCUAAAACCACUAAUAAAGGAUUAAGCUUUAAACCCCUGUCUCAGUGUCUUCGGUUGGGGCGACCACGGGGAGUUGCGUAACCCCCGCGUGGACUGGGAACAAGAGUGUUUUUGUUCCUAAAGAUAAGAGCCUCCGUUCUAAUAAACAGAAUUUCUGACCUUACAAGAUCCGGCAAUGCCGAUCAACGAACCAAGUUACUCCAGGGAUAACAGCGCCAUCCUCUUUCAGAGCCCUUAUCGACAAGGGGGUUUACGACCUCGAUGUUGGAUCAGGACAUCCUAAUGGUGUAGCCGCUAUUAAGGGUUCGUUUGUUCAACGAUUAAUAGUCCUACGUGAUCU